AUUGAACGCUGGCGGCAUGCUUUACACAUGCAAGUCGAACGGUAACAGGCCUUCGGGUGCUGACGAGUGGCGAACGGGUGAGUAAUGCAUCGGAACGUACCCAGAGGUGGGGGAUAACGCAGCGAAAGCUGUGCUAAUACCGCAUGUGAUCUGAGGAUGAAAGCGGGGGACCGAGCAGCAAUGUUUGGCCUCGCGCCUUUGGAGCGGCCGAUGUCGGAUUAGCUAGUUGGUGGGGUAAAGGCCUACCAAGGCGACGAUCCGUAGCUGGUCUGAGAGGACGACCAGCCACACUGGGACUGGGACACGGCCCAGACUCCUACGGGAGGCAGCAGUGGGGAAUUUUGGACAAUGGGCGCAAGCCUGAUCCAGCAAUGCUGCGUGCGGGAAGAAGGCCUUCGGGUUGUAAACCGCUUUUGGCAGGAACGAAACGGUGUCCGCUAAUACCGGGCGCUAAUGACGGUACCUGCAGAAUAAGCACCGGCUAACUACGUG
rnacentral:rRNA from 1 species